rnacentral:rRNA from 1 species
GUGGGGAAUUUUGGACAAUGGGCGCAAGCCUGAUCCAGCAAUGCCGCGUGCAGGAAGAAGGCCUUCGGGUUGUAAACUGCUUUUGUACGGAACGAAACGGUCCUGGCUAAUACCUGGGGCUAAUGACGGUACCGUAAGAAUAAGCACCGGCUAACCACGUGCCAGCAGCCGCGGUAAUAAGUAGGGUGCGAGCGUUAAUCGGAAUUACUGGGCGUAAAGCGUGCGCAGGCGGUGCUGUAAGACAGGCGUGAAAUCCCCGGGCUCAACCUGGGAAUUGCGCUUGUGACUACAGUGCUGGAGUGCGGCAGAGGGGGAUGGAAUUCCGCGUGUAGCAGUGAAAUGCGUAGAUAUGCGGAGGAACACCGAUGGCGAAGGCAAUCCCCUGGGCCUGCACUGACGCUCAUGCACGAAAGCGUGGGGAGCAAACAGGAUUAGAUACCCCUGUAGUCC